GAGACAGAAUCUUGCUCUGUCACCCAGGUUGGAGUGCAGUGGUGCGAUCUCACUGCAACUGCCUCACGAGUUCAAGCGAUUCUCUUGCCUCAGCCUCCUGAGUAGCUGGGAUUACAGGCAUGUACAUCGAUGCCCAGCUCAUUUUUGUAUUUUUAGUAGAGAUGAAGUUUUGCCAUGUUGGCCAGGCUGGUCUCUAACUCCUGACUUCAGGUGAUCCAUCUGCCUUGGCCUCCCAAAGUGUUAGGAUUACAGGCAUGAGCCACCGUGCCCAGCUAAAGAGUUUUCUUUUCUUUUUCUUGUUUUUUUUGAGAUGGAGUCUCAUUCUGUCACCGAGGCUGGAGUGCAAUGGCUCGAUCUCUGCUCACUGCAAGCUCUGCCUCCUGGGUUCAUGCCAUUCUCCUGCCUCAGCCUCCCAAGUAGCUGGGACUACAGGCACCCACCACCAAGGCCGGCUAAUUUUUUUUAUUUUUAGUACAGACGGGGUUUCACCGUGUUAGCCAGGAUGGUCUCGAUCUCCUGACCUCGUGAGCCACCAGCCUUGGCCUCCCAAAGUGCUGGGAUUACAGGCGUGAGCCACCGCGCUCGGCUGCCAAGAGUUUUCUUUUUAAUAAACAAAAUUAUAAUAAUGACAAUAAUCUGUUCUGAACUAAACGGCAGCAGUGUCUGAACACCAAGACUGUUUGCUUUAUUAAUAGGUGGCCACAUUUUGUUUUGUCUC
rnacentral:lncRNA from 1 species